GAUGGCGGUGUUGCACCAGACUGUAAAUCUGGCCCGAAAGGUAACAAUGUUGGUUCGAAUCCAGCCUCUUCCACCA
rnacentral:tRNA from 1 species